UGGAAGAAAUGAAUGUGCUGAGGUGGAAUGGUGCCCAAGCUCCAUGACUCACCUGAUUGGCAGAUCUGGGAAGCCUGGGUGGUGGUGUUUGCUGCAGCAGCCUCACCCACAGAGUCUCACCAAGAAGAAUGUUGCAGCAUGGGCUGAGUCAGCCAGAAGAAACAGAUGCUGGCCAUCUGAAUGAGGCUGGUCCUGAUGAUAAAUACAGGCCCAUGAGUACACUUCCCUCCAUCCUCCUGGCUAUGGAGAGAGCAGACCUUGUCAGAGGAAGUGAGAUCCAGCCUCCUGCUGUGGACUAUAGCCUCAAGCCUGGUCACUAAGCAAAGUCAGUCCCCCUGGAUCCAUGUGGCAGCGUCAUUGGCCAGCUAUCCUCCCAGUUUCCCAGAGCCAUGACAGAAUGGCCAACUCUUAAUGUUGGGUGGCCUCCAGAAGGCACCUUCGACCUGAUCAUCGUCAAGGACACUGAAGACAUCAUUGUCAAGCCUCGCACAGGUCACCCAAACCAAGUGCCUUACAUUGUGGUUUGGUGGAACCUCAUUGAAAACCCUCCUCCCUGGCUUAAACCUUUCUUACCUCAACAGGUUAGGGUCCUGGCAGUCACCAAGACAGACUCCUCUGCCAUAACCCCUUCUGUUCCUAAGCCUGAAGUUUUCCAAGGAGGCACUCCAGAGGAAAACAUCUUUGACCUUCCCCCUUAUGCUUCCUAGACACUUAUUGCCACCAGCAGCCUCCUUUGCCCCCCUAAAACCCUCUCCCACAGUUCCACCAAAAAAUACCAGAUGGGGGCCAGCCCUCAGGACCCACAGUCAUAGGGGAGAAACUCCCAAGACAGGGUCAACAAUCCUCCCUCUCUGGGCAGUAGGACCACCCAACCAAAAUGGUAACCAACCAUACCACUAUUGGCCAUUUGCCACUAGUGAUCUUUAUAAUUGGAAGGCUCAAAAUGUGCCAUUUUCUGAAGACCCCAAACAGUUGAUUAACCUUUUUGAAACUGUCCUUUUCACUCACCAGUUCACCUGGGAUGAUUGUCAGCAACUCUUACAGGUUCUCUUUACCACAGAAGAAAGGGACCGCAUCCAAAUGGAGGCCCGGAAGCUAGUCCCAGGGCUUACUGGAGAGCCAAGUACCAAUCAGACUCUCAUCAAUGCAGAUUCCCCCUUGACCCACCCCAACUGGGAUUAUAAUAUGGUGGAAGAUAAGGAGAGCUUCCUGGUGUAUUGCCGGACUCCGUUGCUGGGUCUCAAGGUGGCUGCAUGUCGGCCCACAAAUUUGAGUAAGGUGUAUCAUAUAGAGUGUAGACCUGAAGAAAGCCCAGCUACCUUUCUAAAAAGAUUGCAGGAAGCUUUUAGGAGAUAAACUCAUUUUGAUCCAGAUUCACCGGACAGUGUAGUGGCAGUAACCUUAGCUUUCAUUAAUCAGUCAGUUCCACACAUUAAAAAGAAGCUGCAGAAAUUGGAACGUUGGGAGAAAAGAAUAUAAGGAAUCUAGUUGUAGUGGCAGAAAAAGUGUUUAAUGGAAGGGACAGUGUAGAGGAAAAAUAAAUCAAAAAGGAGUGGCAGAGGAAUCAACACCUCGCCAGCAUCCUGCUAGCUGCAACCGCAGAGCCAGGUGAACGCCAGCAGCAGCUGCGACACCUGGUGGCCAAAGAAGAAGAUGACAAGCAAGUUAAAGGUAAUAAAGCCCCCAAUGUGCUUACUGUAAAGAGGAAGGUCAUUGGGGCUAAAGAGUGUCCCCAGAAGGCAGGACGUAGUGGAACCAAAGUGUUCAGUACCCGAGAUGUGGACAGUGACUGGGGGGAUGGGGCUCAGUCCUUCUCCCCAAGUCCAGGGUAACCUUAAAAGUGGAGGGGAAACCAAUUGACUUUAUGAUUGACACUGAGCUCAAAACUCGGUUCUGCUCCGGGCUAAUGGACCUAUAAUGAGCAAAACAACCUGGGUUCAAGGAGCCACAGGAGUGAAGCCUUAUUUAUGGACUACCCAAAGGACUGUGGACCUAGGAACAGGAUGAGUAGCCCAUUCAUUUCUUGUGAUCCCAGACUGCCCACCCCUUGUUGGGAUGAGAUUUGCUAACAAAAAUAAAAGCCCAAAUUCUCUUCUCAGAGGGGGGGCCCAACUGCUUGAUGGCAAAGGGGAACCCCUCCACGUACUUGUAACUAGCAGUCUUACUGAAGAGUAUAGGAUGCACCAAACAGGUCUGGAACUAGACACCCAAUUGGAAAAUUGGCUCCAAAAUUUCCCUCAGCAUGGGCCAAAACAGGGGCAUGUGUCUGGCUAAAAGCUGUCCCCCAGUAUUUGUGGAACUCAAAUCAGGGUCAAAACCAGUUAAGGUUCAUCAGUAUCCCAUGCCCCUUGAAGCAAAAGAGAGGAUCACACCCCUUAUCCAGAGGUUGCUGAGUUUGGUAGUCCUCAGGCCCACACAUUCAGCCUGGAAUGCUCCCCUACUCCCAAUCAAAAAGCCGCAUACCCAGGACUAUUGCCCAGUAUGAGAUUUAUGGGAAGUUAACAAAAGAGUAAUGGACAUACACCCUACGGUGCCAAAUUCAUAUACCCUGCUUAGCACACUUUCCCCCGAUCACAAGUGGUACACAGUACUAGAUCUAAAGGAUGUUUUCUUCAAUCUGCCACUAGCCCCAAAAAGCCAGGACUAAUUUGCCUUUGAAUGGCAUGACCCAGAGAUAGGAGUCAGUGGACAAUUGACCUGAACAAGGCUCCUGCAA